rnacentral:lncRNA from 1 species
GAUGAAUACGACGGUACACCAUCCAAAAUGCCGUGGCUUCCUCCUUCAGUGCGUCCUCUAUUUUUCAACCAAUUGGGAGCCCCCACCACCGAGAGAUCUAAGGUUGCCAUGGUUAUUUCUCUGCUGACCGGGCGGGUAUUGGAAUGGGCUACGGCCGUCUGGGAGAGAGGAGAGGAGGAGCUAGAUUCUUAUGAGGGGUUCAUGGCUCUGUUUUAAAUGUAUUUUUGAUCAUCCCGCGGAGGUCAGAGAGGGAGGUGAGCGUCUGCUUCAGCUACAGCAGGGGAAUCAGACGGCUGCUGAGUAUGUGCUUAACUUCCGGACAGUAGCAGCUUCCACUAGAUGGAAUGAGCCGGUGCUUCACACGCUAUUCAGAAGAGGUCCAGACAGAACUGGCCUGUUGGGAUGACUACCUCACCCUGGACACACUCAUUGCGAUGGCCAUCCGCCCCGAUAACCUCCUCCGGGAGCGUUGGUAUUCUCAUCGCUUCUUUCCCUCCUUCGGCAAAUAUUCGGGAUGAGAGCCUGAACCCAUGGAGGUAAGGGUCACACGCCUUUCUGUGGCAGAACGACGCAGACAGAUACAGCUGGGGCUAUGUCUGGAUUGUGGGCAAGGAGGGCACAAGCUCCAGCGGAGUCCGGUACUUCAGGAUCCACUAGAGCAGAGGGACGGUCACGUGAUGUUCCAUCCCCUGGACCAGGACUUCAGUGGAUUCCGGCGCCGCGGGAAACUUUAUGGAUCAGACCCUUGCCUCCUCCCUCAACAUUACCAUCUAUCAGCUCUCCUCUCCUUUUCGAAGACUCGACUGUCGGCCCAUAAGGAUCUGGGACCAUCACACACAUCACUCAACCACUCACCCACUCACUUCGUGGAGUCCAAUCAACAGGAGAACAUGUCUUUCUUCAAUACAAGUGCACCAGGUCACAAAAUCAUCCUCGGCCUCCCUUGGCGCCAAUGCCAUAACCCUAUUAUCUCAUGGUUGAGGAGGAAAAUCAGACUCAUCUGAAUGCCGGUAGACCUGCAUCCCUGUUCCACGUCGGUUGAGAGUCCAAUGGUUGCCCUUCAGCCCAACAUCCCAGAGGAAUACCAGGACCUUAAAGUGGUAUUCUCCAAGACCCGCGCUACUUGUCUCCCUCCUCCUCAUCGCCCCUGGGACUGUGACAUCGACCUGUUUUCCGGUGCUACACCUCCACGCAAACACAUCUACCCUCUGUCUGUGGCUAAGACCCAGGCCAUGGAGGCCUGCGUCUGCUGGGUUCUUCUUCGUGGCCAAGGAGGGAGGAUUACGCCCAUGUAUCGUUUACCGAGGACUCAAUGACAUCACCAAGAAGUAUUGGUACCCUCUCCCGUUGGUGCCGUCAGCCAUAGAGCAGCUCUGCAGGGCCCGGUUCUUCACCAAACUGGACCUGCGGAGUGCCUACAAUCUCAUCCACAUCCGGGAGGGGGAUGAGUGAAAGACGGCGUUCAGCACAAUCUCUGGUAACUACGAGUAUUUGGUUAUGCCCUUUGGCUUAGCCAAUUCUCCGUCAGUGUUCCAGGCAUUCGUCAAUGAGAUGUUCAGGGACAUGCUCGGACGGCAGAUGAUUGUAUACAUCGAUGACAUCCUGAUCUUCUCGACCAACCUGAAAGAUCACAUCACCCACGUCCGAGCAGUCCUGGAACGCCUCUUGGUCAAUCACUUGUUCGUCAUGGCGGAGAAGUGCCAAUUCCAUCAGAGGGCUGUAUCCUUCCUGGGUUACCAAAUCAGCCCGCAGGGAGUGAGGAUAGAGGACAAGAAG